CCUACGGGAGACUGCAGUGAGGAAUAUUGGUCAAUGGACGCAAGUCUGAACCAGCCAUGUAGCGUGAAGGAUGACUGCUCUACGGGUUGUAAACUUCUUUUAUAAAAGGAUAAACUGAGGUACGCGUGCCUUUUUGAAUGUAUUUUACGAAUAAGGAUCGGCUAACUCCGUGCCAGCAGCCGCGGUAAUACGGAGGAUUCGAGCGUUAUCCGGAUUUAUUGGGUUUAAAGGGUGCGUAGAUGGUCGGUUAAGUUAGUUGUGAAAGUUUGAGGCUCAACCGUAGAAUUGCAAUUGAUACUGGCAGGCUAGAGAAUAGUUGCGGUAGGCGGAAUGUAUGGUGUAGCGGUGAAAUGCUUAGAGAUCACACAGAACACCGAUUGCGAAGGCAGCUUACUAAGCUACCUCUGACAUUGAUGCACGAAAGCGUGGGGAUCAAACAGGAUUAGAUACCCUUGUAGUC
rnacentral:rRNA from 1 species